rnacentral:lncRNA from 1 species
AACAACUGAUUUAAGUUUUGUACAUUUAUCUUGGGGCGUAAUUAACUUGAGCUUGAAGUUCCCCGGGUUCAAUUUCAAUCUCAAGUUAAUUAGGUUUUAUUAGACAAUUCGUUUUGUUGUACUUUGUCUAUUUCAAAUUAUGAUGGUUUGAAUUUUUGUGUAAUAAGUAGUGACUAUUUUGCAUAUGUUUUGUUUUGCGAGGACUACUGAUAUUGGCUAUCGGACUCGAUUGGAUGUACCAUGCUAAUACCGAAGCCAAGGCCCAGGUACUCCCAAAUACAUAUCUCCACAUCUUCAGAUAUUGAGGUACG